rnacentral:lncRNA from 1 species
CCUCCAACUUUUGAUUUCUAAAUUUCAGAUUCUGAACUUCGAGUUGGACUGGGCUACUAUUAGUAGCAAAAUUUCAUUAUUGCUACCAGUUUUUUAGCCUUUGGAUCAACACUUUUCAUCAUUUCUAAUCAUUGGAUUAAAUACUAUAACCCAGUGGGGACCACUCAACCCUAGGGGGUCCACUCAACUCUAACUGACUAAUACCAUCCUAACCCUAUAAUUUUUCAUCCAAUGGUUAAAAUCUUGAUAGCAAAAAGAGCAUUUUACUACUAAUAGUAUUCCAGCCUAAUUCCUGAACUUCUAUCGAUAGCAAAUGGGUUCUAUUGUCACCCAUUUAUUUUUGAUGAUGGAGUCUCUAAAUCGACGAUCGGUACCGUUGAACUUUAUUUAUACCACUUGAAAUAUUUAGAAAUCAAAUUUUAUACAUUUCUAAUAUUGUUCUCUUAUCCAUCGAGUGGACAUAAAAAUGAACAGCUGAAAAUGAAUAUCCUUUAAAAAAUGACGAUAUGAGUCUUGUAAUCAAGAUUAAGAGUAUAGAUCUUGUUUUAAAUAGUUUUAAAAAUUUUUUAACAAAAAUUCAAUUGAUUUGGAUAUUUUUACGCCGUUAAAUGAGAAAACACUUCAUAUCGACCAUUAAAAUUACAAAUUUUGAAACCCUUUGAUUAUUAGACAAAUGAUGUCGAAAGGAUUUGAAAUUUGAUUUCUAAACACUUCAAGUGGUAUAGAUAUAUUAUGUUUAACAGUGCCGAUUGUCGAUUUGGAGGCUCUAUCAUGAAAAACAAAUAGGUGGCAAGAAAGCCCGUUUGCUAUUGAUAGUAUUCAAGCUCAACUCUCUUUCUCUCUCUCUCUAUAUAUAUAUAUAUAGUUGGGCUAGAAUACUAUUAAUAGUAUUUGUCCCUUUUACUAUCAAAUUUUUAGCCUUUGAAUCAAUUUUUUUGAUCAUUUCUAAUCAUUGGAUUAAAUAUUAUAAUCCAAUGAGAAUCACUCAACAUUACGGGGACCACUUAACUCUAAGGGACUAAUAUCAUCCUAAUCUUAUAAUUUCUCAUUCAAGGAUUAAAAAUUUGAUAGUAAAAAAGACCAAAUACUAUCAACAAUAUUCUAGCCAAACACACA